rnacentral:rRNA from 1 species
GACGAACGCUGGCGGCGUGCCUAAUACAUGCAAGUAGAACGCUGAAGGAGGAGCUUGCUUCUCCGGAUGAGUUGCGAACGGGUGAGUAACGCGUAGGUAACCUGCCUGGUAGCGGGGGAUGACUAUUGGAAACGAUAGCUAAUACCGCAUAACAGUAGAUGUUGCAUGACAUUUGCUUAAAAGGUGCAAUUGCAUCACUACCAGAUGGACCUGCGUUGUAUUAGCUAGUUGGUGAGGUAACGGCUCACCAAGGCGACGAUACAUAGCCGACCUGAGAGGGUGAUCGGCCACACUGGGACUGAGACACGGCCCAGACUCCUACGGGAGGCAGCAGUAGGGAAUCUUCGGCAAUGGACGGAAGUCUGACCGAGCAACGCCGCGUGAGUGAAGAAGGUUUUCGGAUCGUAAAGCUCGGUUGUAAGGGAAGAACGAGUGUGAGAGUGGAAAGUUCACACUGUGACGGUAUCUUACCAGAAAGGGACGGCUAACUACGUG